AUAAAAUCAAACACUUUACUUUUCCCCUCUGUGUUUACGCUCCCUUCUCCCUUUCUUUGUCUCUCUCUCACUCUCUUCUGAAAUGUAUUUCCUAUGCACAAUUUUGAAACAAUUUCUCUCUAUUUGGUUGAAAAAAUCAGAAAAAUGGCUUCUCUUUUUAAUACCAGCAAUGUGAUAAUAAUAUUUUAAAAAAAAUACUCUAUCUCUGCCUGGCUUAUAUUAGUGAAAGCCUUCUUCUCUCUAGGUUGCCUUACGAUAAAGCCCUGAACCUCUUCAAGAACAAACCCAAGUGAGAAAUAACUGUGGCCGGCCAUUCCUGCCCCCGCCUGUUCCCUCCCGAUACUCCGACCACCGGAACCGCAGGCACACAAAUAUACAAUUUGUAAGGUGCACCGUUACCAUCAGACCGUCAGAACUACCAUCGAUGUUUCCCUUUUUAGGUGUAUCUCUUGAACCUGUUUGGUUUCCUGUUAAUUGGAAAUGUUCAUAGUUUGCAUAAUACUACAUUCAUAAAUCCAAGAUAUCAGAUGAGGCGCUUUAGAAAAAUUGGAGUCAUCAUUGUAAUGGAUGGGCUAAUUCAUGAAAUGCGCCCACUUUAAAUUUUUUUUAUUUUAUUUUUUUAUUGACGUAAGUUGCGUAAGCUUUUUGUUGUAAAAUUGGUAGUACCUUUAGCAUUUUCCAUAUGUUCUUACAUUUCAAUGCUUUGAUUGGGGAGUUUUGUUUUGUGUGCUAA